UCGCCUGUUUUUUUAAAAAACAUGUCCUUUUGUUUAAAAUUUAAGGUCUAGCCUGCCCACUGAUGUAUUUAAAUGGCCGCAGUAUUUUGACUGUGCAAAGGUAGCAUAAUCAUUAGUUUUUUAAUUAAAAGCUGGUAUGAAAGGUUGAAUGAGAAAAAAACUGUCUCUAUUUAAUUUUUUGAUAAAUUUAUUUUUAAGUAAAAAAGCUUAAAUUAUUUUAAAAGACGAGAAGACCCUAUAGAGUUUAAUAAAAUUUUUUUAUUUAAUAUUUUUAGUAUUUUUUAUAUUAAUUAUUAUAUUUUAUUUGAUUGGGGUGAUUAAAAAAUUAAAAAAACUUUUUUUUUAUUAAAACAUUAAUUUAUGAUUAAUUGAUCCAUUAUUUAUGAUUAUAAGAUAAAAUUACCUUAGGGAUAACAGCGUAAUAUUUUUUUAGAGUUCAAAUCGAAAAAAGAGAUUGCGACCUCGAUGUUGGAUUAAAAUUAAUUUUUGGUGUAGAAGCUAGAAAUAUAUUGCGGCUCUUAACCAAAUUCCC
rnacentral:rRNA from 1 species